AUGAUAGUGAUAGAUGAGCUUCCGUUCAUAUUUGCAGAGAAAGAAGGAUUUAGGUUGUUCAUGUCUAAAGCUUGCCCUAGGUUCAAUGUGCCAUCUAGGACCACUAUGUAUAGAGAUAUCAUUGCUCUUUAUGAAACUGUGAAAGCUAUGCUUAGAAAGUAUUUCAUCGAUUCACGUCAAACUGUUUGCCUCACCACUGAUACAUGGACGUCAAAAAGACAGCAAAGCUACAUGGUUCUUACUGCACAUUUCAUCGAUUCUUCGUGGAACCUUAGGAAAAAAAUUAUUAGCUUUGUCUUGGUAGAUGGACACAAAGGGGACGAUAUUGGGAAAUCAUUAGAAAAAUUACUGAUUGAGUGGGGCAUUGAAUGA
rnacentral:rRNA from 1 species